rnacentral:rRNA from 1 species
AUUGAACGCUGGCGGCAGGCCUAACACAUGCAAGUCGAGCGGAUGAGGGGAGCUUGCUCCUGGAUUCAGCGGCGGACGGGUGUGUAAUGCCUAGGAAUCUGCCUCGUUGUGGGGGAUAACGUCCUGAAACGGGCGCUAAUACCGCAUACGUCCUGAGGGAGCAAGUGGGGGAUCUUCGGACCUCACGCUCUCAGAUGAGCCUAGGUGGGAUUGGCUAGUUGGUGGGGUAAAGGCCUACCAAGGCGACGAUCCGUAACUGGUCUGAUAGGAUGAUAGGUCACACUGGAAGGGGGACAGGGUCCAGGCUCCUACGGUAGGCAGCAGAGGGGAAUAUUGGACAAUGGGCGAGAGCCUGGUCCAGCCAUGCGGCGUGUGUGAAGAAGGUCUUCGGAUUGUAAAGCACUUUAAGUUGGGAGGAAGGGCAGUAAGUUAAUACCUUGCUGUAUUGACGUUACCAGCAGAAGAAGCACCGGCUAACUACGUG